rnacentral:lncRNA from 1 species
CUUACAUUUCCUGUAACUCAAAAAGAUUUAAUUUGAUUUUCACUAAAAGGUUUACAGAUCGUUUGACCAUUAUAAGAAAUAACUAUGUUAAAUUUUAAGAAAUAAGAUAAGCUGUCCUCAAGUUACGGUGCGACAUGUUUAUGUUGGACAGACGGAUAGACGGAUAGAUAGACGGACGGACGGACGGACCGAAUGACUGAUAGAUGGAGGAACGGACGGAUGAAAGGACGGACGGACGGACAGGUGGGCGGACAGACGGACAGACGGAUGUAUACAAUUAUACGUCCUGUCAAAAUUGUGACGGGAGUGAAAAAACGCAAAGAAAUAAAAAAAAACUCGUAAUUAAAGGUCAAUAAGUUUUAUUAGGAUGUCGGCCAAGUCGACUUAUUUGUAUAUUUUG